rfam:Oryza glumipatula chromosome 7, whole genome shotgun sequence.
UUUAAGUGCAACCAUAAGUUUCCGCGCUUAACUUUGAUCGUUUAUUUUAUUUGAAAAAAUUUUAUAAUUAAUAUUUUUGUAGUUAUGAGAUGAUAAAACAUGAAUAGCACUUUACUCGUGACUUAUGUUUUUAUUUUUUUAAAAAAAAAUUAAAUAAUACGAACGAUCAAAGUUGGACUAAAAAAUCAUGGCUAGACUGAAA